rnacentral:lncRNA from 1 species
UGCUGCUUUUUUGAAAAUUUUGACUUGAAUCUUCAUGACUUCUCAAAUGGUGAGAUAGUCAUUAUUCUGAGUUGAAGUUGAUACACGAAAUAUUCCUCCUCAUUGGCUUUUGGCGUUAGAAGGGAACUUGACAAUUGGUUUAUUUUUCAAAUUUUCUUCUGACUUGGACUUGAAAAUUUCCACCCUAUUCUUCAGGUGGGCUCCUGAACUUGCAACUGAUAAUGUUUACCCUAUUCUUCAGACGGGCUCUUGAUUUGCUUUUCUUCACCCUGUUCUUCAGGCGGACUGCUAGAUUCAAAGUAAACAGUAAAACAGAAAAAUAGCAUCUCAUUCUUUGGGAGGGUUCUGAGCGUAAAAUAAAUUCUUAUUCUUCAGGAGGAUCCUGAGCAGAAAGCAAAGUUCAAUAAACACGAACAGAAUGUUUGCCCCAGUUUGUACUUAGAAAAUGACUCGACUAAAAGGUACGUCUUAUAGGAAUCAAAAGGAAUGACUCGACUAAAAAGUACGUCUUAUAGGAAUCAAGGGGAUUACUCGAUUAAAAGAUACGUCUUAUAGGAAUCAAGGGAGUGACUCAACUAAAAGGUACGUCUUAUAGGAAUCACGGGGAGUGACUCGACUAAAAGGUUCGUCUUAUAGGAAUCAGGGGGAUGACUCGACUAAAAGUUACGUCUUAUAGGAAUCACGAGGAGUGACUCGACUAAAAAGUUCGUCUUAUAGGUGUUUUACGAAGAAAUUUUUGACUUUUAAAGAAGAGUUGCCACUUAAUUUUGAAAAGGAAUUAAGAAACCUUUAUAAAAUACUUUAAACGAUCCAAAACAGACAAAUUGUUUAAAUUUGAAGAUUAUGAAUAAGCAGUUCCUAUUAACGUUUUAGGAAGGUGUUAGACACCUAAAACGUCUGCUAACUUGCGGUUAUCCAGACUAUUUAAAAACGUCUUUUGAUUAACUUCUAAAAGAUUAAUUUGUUGAAAAGUGAUUGGUUUUUAGAUAGCGAUUGGUGUAAAACGGAUUUAGACGACUUGAUAGGGAUUUUUAACUAAGUCUAAACGAACAAAGGCAAACAAACAUGUAAAAAAGGAAAGGGGGAGGGAAUAAAAUAAUCAGGCCAUUCGGCCCAUUUCACCAGUCCUAGUCUAGUUUAGGCUUUCGGCCCAUUUCACCAGUCCUAGUCUAGUUUCGAGCCUUUCGGCUCAAAAUCCGCUCCACCUGUAUUAAAUUUACAACUUUGGUUUCGAGGCCCAAAUGAAUUAAUAAGUAAAAUAAAUAAAAUAAAUAAAGACAACAAUACUUAAAUAAAUAAAAUGACAAAUGAGACUUUCACGUCUCUUAGCCGCUUCAAACGUGGGUCUUUAACCUGCCUUUCUUUUUCCAACUCUUCGUAUUCAUAUGCUAUAUUAUUGUCUCCUUAUGGUCUUCGAAAUCGACUCAUGAGGGAUGGGCCCCAAUGGCCCACGUCGAUAAUGCAACAAUGGGAAUAGAGUCCGUUUAGACUCAAAUGUUUCCACAUACAAAAGAAAAGAAGGAAAAAUAAAGUAAUUAAUACAUGUUCAAACUAAUAUUCAAAAAUGCUAAAAUAUCAUGCAUCGUAUUUAACAGAGGGAAAAUAUUAAAUAUAUGAGAUGGGCACAUUAAUUCAGUGAAGUUAAAACUUCAUUCAAAAUUUCAACAUAAGAUAAUUUACCUAUUAGUUAGGGCGCAUUCGAAUAAGCUUACUGAGCGAUAAAAGACCAAAUUUAUGCACAACAUGCAGGAAAAUUUAAUAAAUUAAAUCUACAUUAGGCGUAUUUCCCCUAUCUGCUUAGGCAUAGCAGUUUAUAAUUCUUUAGCGAUUGAGAAACCAAAUUCACAUUAUGUCUAGGUAUACUGAUCCUCAAUUAACACUACAAUCAGAUAAACGGACAAAUUAUUUACUAUCAUAUAAUCACUUAGAUAAUCAAGGAAAUAUUUAGGUGAAGCACAGGCAAAGAUUGACUAGAAAAAUUUCAUUGAAAUAGAUCAAAUCAAGGCUGGUCAAUUUAUAUAGUGUUCUACAAGCAAACAAUUGUAUUGGAUACAGUGCAAGAACAGGAAAUGCACAAAUAAUAUCCAAUCAUAUGAAAAUAUUGUUACUUCGUUAUCCCACAAAAUAAUUCACCGUAAAUAAUGAAGCUUUGAUGCAGAUGAGGAUGAAAAGAACAUUGUCACAGGUGAUUUCAAACAUGAACAACAAUGAAUAGAAAAACUAGCCAACAUUCUGAAAAACCAUAUGUUGAAAAGUAACGUUUUCUUCUUCAUUUAUAGGUGCGGGCAAAUGAAUAAAACCAUGAAUCAACAAACAGAAGCCAACUUAUUAACUAGACUUCGAUUUCAAAUACCCUUUUUAGUUUUCAGCUUCAAACGAAUGUUCAAAUCGAUCCUAAAGAUUAAUAAAGAGAUCAUGUUAAUGAAAGGUAGGUUCCGCAAACAACAAACUCAAUGUGGUCCAUCCAUUCAACGAACCUUACUAAUAACGAGAGCUUAGUUUACAGAGAUGUGAAUCCACCACUAACUAAACAGUAAAAAAGGGGUUCAGAUUUUACCUAAAUUUCAACCUCUAUCUUAAGCAUAUGAGACUUACUAACCAACGCAAGUAGCCAAAUUUUUCCCAUUUAUACAUUUGAAAUUAUGAAAUCGAAAAUUAAUAUUAGUUGAAAAAUUAGCAACUUUACACAUCACAUAUAUGUAUACAUGACCUACACACAAUUGAGUUCAUACAUUUUUAAGCUAUUUACGCAUCUACUUGAAUGAAUGCAAGAUGAAACUACACAAAAUACACUCAAUAUGGUCCGUCUCUUCACUGGAUCCUACACAUACGAAAACUUCGUACACCAACAACUAAAACCGCCCAAAGUUCCAAUCUUUACCUGAAUUUUCAACCUCCAACUUAGGCACAUGAAAAACUUACAAACUAACUCAGCUAGCCAAAAAUUUCCCAGCAAACAUAUUGAUUCAAAUAAAGCGUAAUGACAACUAUCAUGAACGCAACCUAUGACUAUUAAAGCCAUAUACCAGCAAUCAAUCUCAGCACAGAAUGUUACCAAAAAAAGUAAAAAAAAUUAGAUAUCGCUACAGAAAAUUGAGAUGAAGCAGAAAAGAUCGAAGUUUGAAAUGGAGAAGGAAUGUUACCUUUUUGGGAGCAGCAAAACGGGACCAUGAGUUAAUCUUCGGGAUAUUGAUCACCACCGGAACUUCGCCACUACUUCGAUGAUU